GAUGAACGCUGGCGGCGUGCCUAAUACAUGCAAGUCGAGCGAACGGACCAGAAGUUUGCUCCUCUGAUGUUAGCGGCGGACGGGUGAGUAACACGUGGAUAACCUACCUAUAAGACUGGGAUAAUUUUGGGAAACCGGAGCUAAUACCGGAUGAUAUUUUGAACCGCAUUGUUCAAAAGUGAAAGACGGUAUUGCUGUCACUUAUAGAUGGAUCCGCGCUGCAUUAGCUAGUUGGUAAGGUAACGGCUUACCAAGGCAACGAUGCAUAGCCGACCUGAAAGGGUGAUCGGCCACACUGGAACUGAGACACGGUCCAGACUCCUACGGGAGGCAGCAGUAGGGAAUCUUCCGCAAUGGGCGAAAGCCUGACGGAGCAACGCCGCGUGAGUGAUGAAGGUCUUCGGAUCGUAAAACUCUGUUAUUAGGGAAGAACAUAUGUGUAAGUAACUGUGCACAUCUUGACGGUACCUAAUCAGAAAGCCACGGCUAACUACGUG
rnacentral:rRNA from 1 species